CAAUAGCGUAUAUUUAAGUUGUUGCAGUUAAAAAGCUCGUAGUUGGAUUUCGGUUGAGAACGGCCGGUCCGCCGUUUGGUGUGCACUGGCUGGUUUCAACUUCCUGUAGAGGACGUGCUCUGGCUUCACGGCUGGACGCGGAGUCUACGUGGUUACUUUGAAAAAAUUAGAGUGUUCAAAGCGGGCUUACGCUUGAAUAUUUCAGCAUGGAAUAACACUAUAGGACUCCUGUCCUAUUUCGUUGGUCUCGGGACGGGAGUAAUGAUUAAGAGGAACAGUUGGGGGCAUUCGUAUUUCAUUGUCAGAGGUGAAAUUCUUGGAUUUAUGAAAGACGAACUUCUGCGAAAGCAUUUGCCAAGGAUGUUUUCAUUA
rnacentral:rRNA from 1 species